CAGCGGCCCUAGUGGUGAUCGUUAUUAUUGGGCCUAAAGCGUCCGUAGCCGGUUCGGUAAAUCUCUGGGUAAAUCGUUGGGCUUAACUCAACGAAUUCUGGGGAGACUGCCGAACUUGGGACCGGGAGAGGUCGGAGGUACUCCAGGGGUAGGGGUGAAAUCCUGUAAUCCUUGGGGGACCACCGGUGGCGAAAGCGUCCGACCAGAACGGGUCCGACGGUAAGGGACGAAGCCCUGGGUCGCGAACCGGAUUAGAUACCCGAGUAGUCC
rnacentral:rRNA from 1 species